UCCGUAGGUGAACCUGCGGAGGGAUCAUUACACAACGAAAAUAUGAAGGCUUUGGCUUCGCGGCCGGCUGAAAUAUUUUUUUCACCCAUGUCUUUUGCGCACUUGUUGUUUCCUGGGCGGGUUCGCCCGCCACCAGGACCAAACCAUAAACCUUUUUUUUAAUGCAGUCGCAAUCAGCGUCAGUAAAAAAUAAUGUAAUUAUUACAACUUUCAACAACGGAUCUCUUGGUUCUGGCAUCGAUGAAGAACGCAGCGAAAUGGGAUACGUAGUGUGAAUUGCAGAAUUCAGUGAAUCAUCGAAUCUUUGAACGCACAUUGCGCCCUUUGGUAUUCCAAAGGGCAUGCCUGUUCGAGCGUCAUUUGUACCUUCAAGCUUUGCUUGGUGUUGGGCGUUUUUUGUCUCCCUCUUGCUGGGAGACUCGCCUUAAAACGAUUGGCAGCCGGCCUACUGGUUUCGGAGCGCAGCACAUAUUUUGCACUCUGUGUCAGGAGAAAAGGACGGUAAUCCAUCAAGACUCUACAAAUUUUAACUUUUGACCUCGGAUCAGGUAGGGAUACCCGCUGAACUUAAGCAUAUCAAUAAGCGGAGGA
rnacentral:rRNA from 1 species